GUUUUCUGUGCUGUGAUAAGGUUUGUUCGUUUGCAUUUGGCGUCUGCGUUGCCUUUAUGAGCUGUAGCGCUCACUGCGAAAAUUGUCACUUUAUUUCUGAAGUGGGUGAGAUGACGAGCCCGGCAGGAGGAACGAAACACUCAUCUGUGAAAGUUGCAACUUCAUUUCUGAAGUAGGUGAGACGACUCUGUGAAAGUUGCAACUUCAUUUCUGAAGUGGAUUUCCCAUUUUGGCCACGCUUCACAUGCGACACAUAUAGAAGUACACAGCAGCUUCCCCCCUUACCUGCAAGGGAUAUGUUCAGAGAUCUCCAGUGGAUGCCUGAAACUAUGGAUAGUACUGAAUCCUAUAUAUACUGUUUUUUUCUAUACAUAUAAUAAAGUUUAUAAAUUAGGUACAGUAAGAGAUUAAAAACUCAAAAUAUGAGUUAAACUCAUAUGCAAUAUAAUAUAUGCAAUAAAAUUGAAAUACUGUCAAACUCU
rnacentral:lncRNA from 10 species